rnacentral:rRNA from 1 species
AUUGAACGCUGGCGGUAUGCUUAACACAUGCAAGUCGAACGGUAGCAUGACUUAGCUUGCUAAGUUGAUGACGAGUGGCAAACGGGUGAGUAACGCGUAGGAAUAUGCCUUAAAGUGGGGGACAACUUGGGGAAACUCAAGCUAAUACCGCAUAAUUUCUUAGGAAAAAAGCUGGGGACCUUCGGGCCUGGCGCUUUAAGAUUAGCCUGCGUACGAUUAGCUAGUUGGUAGGGUAAAGGCCUACCAAGGCGACGAUCGUUAGCUGGUCUGAGAGGAUGACCAGCCACACUGGAACUGAGACACGGUCCAGACUCCUACGGGAGGCAGCAGUGGGGAAUAUUGGACAAUGGGGGCAACCCUGAUCCAGCAAUACCGCGUGUGUGAAGAAGGCCUGAGGGUUGUAAAGCACUUUCAGUGGGGAGGAGAGUAUUUAGGUUAAGAGCUAGAAUACUGGACGUUACCCACAGAAGAAGCACCGGCUAACUCCGUGCCAGCCGCCGCUGUAA